GAUGAACGCUGGCGGCGUGCCUAAUACAUGCAAGUCGAGCGAACGGACGAGAAGCUUGCUUCUCUGAUGUUAGCGGCGGACGGGUGAGUAACACGUGGAUAACCUACCUAUAAGACUGGGAUAACUUCGGGAAACCGGAGCUAAUACCGGAUAAUAUUUUGAACCGCAUGGUUCAAAAGUGAAAGAUGGUCUUGCUGUCACUUGUAGAUGGAUCCGCGCUGCAUUAGCUAGUUGGUAAGGUAACGGCUUACCAAGGCAACGAUGCAUAGCCGACCUGAGAGGGUGAUCGGCCACACUGGAACUGAGACACGGUCCAGACUCCUACGGGAGGCAGCAGUAGGGAAUCUUCCGCAAUGGGCGAAAGCCUGACGGAGCAACGCCGCGUGAGUGAUGAAGGUCUUCGGAUCGUAAAACUCUGUUAUUAGGGAAGAACAUAUGUGUAAGUAACUGUGCACAUCUUGACGGUACCUAAUCAGAAAGCCACGGCUAACUACGUG
rnacentral:rRNA from 1 species